GCAGCUAGUGGAGAAGCGCCUCCUAC
rnacentral:piRNA from 1 species